rnacentral:tRNA from 1 species
AGCCAGUUAGUUUAAAAUAAAACCUUUGAUUUCGGCUCAAAAACUUGUGGUUAAACCCCAUAACUGCCUA